AUGCCAUACCACACAAUGAAGAGUAUUUAUGUGAUAAUCAGACAGUAUUUUGAAAAGAUAUGCAAGAUUGUCUGUUUUCAACACAAUAUGCAGGAAUUUGUCAUUUUAUAUUUCGGGCAGUUUAUGGACUAUCAAAAUUCUUUUGAUAACUUUUUGUCAGGAGGACCAUCUAUUGGCCGAUUUGCACCAAAUUUUACACAAAGCCUCAUCAUGCCAUACCACACAAUGAAGAGUAUUUAUGUGAUAAUCAGACAGCAUUUUGUAAAGAUAUGCAACAUUGUCUGUUUUCAACACAAUAUGCAGGAAUUUGUCAUUUUAUAUUUCGGGCAGUUCAUGGACUAUCAAAAUUCUUUUGAUAACUUUUUGUCAGGAGGGUCUACAGAUGCUACAUGCAAAGUUUGGUGCAAAUUGAUCAAAUUCUCUAGGAGGAGUUCGAAAAAGUACGUUUUUCAUUUGUCGCGAUUUUGCAAACGGAAAGUUACUGCAAAAGUGGGCGUGGCCUACACCAAACAAUUCAUCUGAAUGGAGGGAACACAUCGGCAUGAGGUUUAAUAAUAUGCAACAUAUUAAGUGGGAGUUAUGAGCCAAAAACGCUUUUAAAUUGAAAAUAGCGCCACCUGGUGGUCAUUUUCAGUGAGUGAGUCACAGGGGCCAUUCUAUAGCACCUCUAUGAAUUUCAUUUCCAUAAGUGUUAUGGUGUGGGCACAGGGCCAAUUAUGCAAUUAAAGUGACGCCAGAGCGCCGACUAGUGGUGGAUCGGUAAACCCUUUGUCAGAUGUCCUCAGGAGGGCACUGACAAUAACUGUACCAAGUUUUGUCUUAUUCCGUUGCAACGUUGUGGAGAUAUAAAAUACAUCAAUUUAAAGAGCGCCACCUUGUGGUCAUCGUCUAAAAUUUUGCACAGGGCCUCAGGGGCUCAUGGGGAAGUAGUAUCCUGAGUUUCAUGUCAUUAGACCACACCAAUGUGGAGAUAUGCAACACUUCCUGUUUUGAGCCAAAUCUGCAGGAAUUUGUUAUUUAAUAACUUCAAAAUUAUUUAUUUUAAUUAGAAUCCUUUAAUAACUUUUUGUCAGGAGGGUCCAGAGAUGCUGUGUGCCAAGUUUCGUGCAAAUCGGUGAAAUCGCCUGGGAGGAGCUCGAAAAAGUAGGUUUUUGACAUUUUGCGACGUAGCGAAAAAAAACGGUAGGCGCAAAUGGGCGUGGCCUAUACCACGAGAUUUAGCACUAUCCACUGAACGCGUCGAUGUAAGGUUUUUGAAUGUGCGACAAAGUUUAUGGGAGUUAUUAGCCAAAACGCGCUUUCCUUAAUAACAGCGCCACCUAGUAGUGGAAAUUCAGGACAACAAUAGAUUAUAAAAUUUUUCGCCAGGUGUGACUUAUAUUCCAAGUUUGGUGAGUUUUGGGGUAUGUUCAGGCAGUGAAAAAAUGCGAUCAUUUUGUGAGAAGAAAAAUAAUAAUAAUCAUUUGAAAAACAAUAGGGUCCUUGCAGGUUCCCUGCUCGGGCCCUAAUUAAAGCUGCAAGCAGCGUUGAACGGGCCCUCGCAGUCCACGCGCGUCGGGGCGUGCUGCCGUCGAUGCAUGCUGCCGUCGGGGCUUGCUGCCGUCGAUGCAUGCUGCCGUCGGGGCUUGCUGCCGUCGGGGCAUGCUCGAGCAACACCUUCCGCUGAGGAAGUCGUUGCUUCAUAAUUCGAUGGACUGCUAUUGCCGGUCUGAAAUGAUGUACGCUGAAGUCAGAAAAACUGUGUGAACUACUGCAUGAUUGCCCGGACAAAGACUGAGUCGAUGCCAGGUCAGAGAAGAACUGAUUAACUGAUGGGAUGUGAGAUGUCACCUGCUGCAUGAUGAAAUCUGAAGAAGAGGAUGAAAUUGCAGCUCAAGGGGGGGUUUCACGAGUACAGUGUUUGACCCUAUAGACGGCUAAACAGCAUGAUAGCCUUAUAUACUGACUGUUAACCACAGUACAUAUUUCGACCUUUAAACUGUAACGAGCAUGGUCACAAUCCCAAGAAACAGACUGCGUUGAAAAAUCGGCAUUUAAAACGAAAUAUUCAUCAUUAAGUCCUCACAAUCCAAAUGUAGCUGCAGUGCAAGCAAAGUGCAGCUAACUACUACUGAGACACAGGCUAUGUGUAAACUGCAAUAGUGAUCAAAUUAUCCAUAACUACAAGCAGAAACCACGUACAUUUCCUCAAGAAUGCACACAUCAUUAGGGAAACCCACAGAAAGUCCAUGCAGCUCCACACGGUCUGCUCACUGACUGGUCUGCUGCAUUUUAGUGUGACUGAGCAUGUCCUGAUUCUUUGCACCAGUAGAGGGAGCUGUUGGACCUUUUCCUGUAGAGCUUUCUUACAGUUUCUGUGACUGAGCAUGUCCUGACUCUUUGCACCAGUAGAGGGAGCUGUUGGACCUUUACCUGUAGAGCUAUCUUACAGUUUCUGUGGCUGCACAUAUGCUGGAGCACUAGCAGAGGCAAAGUAGGAACUGUCCACACAAGAAGAAAUGUGAAAACGCCUCCCAAACUCCAUUAUUACUAUAAAGAUAUGUAUUAUGAUUAUAUCUAUAUAUCACAUAAAAUGUCAAAACAAAUCUCCAAACAUUUAUCAUUAGUAAUAUUAUCUUUUUGACACUUACAGAUCAAGUAAAAUGAAUACUGUUACAAACAUUGUAUUGGCAUGUAGUGGUCAGAUGAAAACAACAGCACUGCACAUUAAACUUCCAAUGUUAUAUGGUUCUUAAGGUUUCAUGAAACUGAAAAGAAUACAGGAGAAAAGGUGGGUUGUUUUGCUCCGCUGCCUUUUAAGCAGAACAAUGUUGACAAUUAGUAGUAACAUAUUAAACCUGUGAAGAAACUGUUCAGGUGUUUUCAGUUGUACUUUUUAGACAUACAUUUAGCACUUGUCUUCUUGAAAAAUGCAAAUUUCUCAGUGACUUUGUGGUUUAAGUUGUGGAUGUCUUUGAUAAGUUUCUUCUCCAUACAGAGCAUGGCAACUGCAUUAAGAAGAUAUUAUCUUCCUGAGGAAGGUCUUGAUUCUCUUCAGUGUUGAGAAGCACCGCUCAGAUUCAGCUGUAGUCAUAGAAGUUGUGAUGAGGAUGUUUAGCAGAGCCACAGUCUCUGAAAAGGUUUCCUGACGAUUGCACUCUGUGACCAGCUGGUACAGAGCCACAGCUCCACUACGGUUUUUGAACUCAUCAUUGCUGUAGAUGUGAGACAGUUCAGUUUUCAGCUUGUUCUUGAUAAGGAGUGGGUAAGCCUCCAUGGUGGUGUUCAGCACUGUUUCAGGGAACUGACUUUUGUACUGUUUGAAUUUGUCUCCAUGCAGCAGUGUCACAAACCACAAACAGCCAAAAGUGCAAGUCCUACAUCUGAAAUAAGACCAUCAGCUGAAAGCCAACGAGAUUUCCUACAUUUCCCUGUAUAUAUUGUCUAUGUGAAGUAAAAGACGUGGGAUCCAAAUCAAGCUGAAGAGAACUUUUUCUCCAGUUCUUCCAUCUGCUCUCCACUGUAGCUAUGAUGUCACGCACUCUAGCUCACCCAAUACACACACAUUACAAAAUCAGAAGACGGCCUAAAAAUCCUUAAAACUAAAACUGUGAUGAUUUGAAAACCGUAAAAGAUUUUCAAAAACUGAUUACAUGCCCAAUAGUUUGAGGUCUUCUGACUCUCUUAAAGUUGGAAUGGAGUGUCUAUGAGGGACAAGAAAAGGAUGAAGGUCAAUGAGUUUUGAAGAGGACUUGAAGAUCCCAUUGACACUGAUUAGACUGCGACCAGAGCGCCAUCUAUUGGCCGAUUUGCACCAAAUUUUACACAGUGCAUCAUCAUGCCAUACCACACAAUGAAUAGUAUUUAUGUGAUAAUCGGACAGUAUUUCAUAAAGAUAUGCAAGAUUGUCUGUUUUCAACACAAUAUGCAGGAAUUUGUCAUAUUAUAUUUCAGGAAGUUUAUGGACUAUCAAAAUUCUUUUAAUAACUUUUUGUCAGGAGGGUCUACAGAUGCUACAUGCAAAGUUUGGUGCAAAUUGGUCAAAUUCUCUAGGAGGAGUUCGAAAAAGUACGUUUUUCAUUUGUCGCGAUUUUGCGAAUGGAAAGUUACUGCAAAAGUGGGCGUGGCCUACACCAAACAAUUCAUCUGAAUGGAGGGAACACAUCGGCAUGAGGUUUAAUAAUAUGCAACAUAUUAAGUGGGAGUUGUGAGCCAAAAACGCUUUUAAAUUGAAAAUAGCGCCACCUGGUGGUCAUUUUCGGUGAGUGAGUCACAGGGGCCAUUCUAUAACACCUCUAUGAAUUUCAUUUCCAUAAGUGUUAUGGUGUGGGCACAGGGCCAAUUAUGCAAUUAAAGUGACGCCAGAGCGCCGACUAGUGGUGGAUCGGUAAACCCUUUGUCAGAUGUCCUCAGGAGGGCACUGACAAUAACUGUACCAAGUUUUGUCUUAUUCCGAUGCACCGUUGUGGAGAUAUAAAAUACAUCUAUUUAAAGACCACCUUGUGGUCAUCGUCUAAAAUUUUGCACAGGGCCUCAGGGGCUCAUGGGGAAGUAGUAUCCUGAGUUUCAUGUCAUUAGACCACACCAAUGUGGAGAUAUGCAACACUUCCUGUUUUGAGCCAAAUCUGCAGGAAGUUGUUAUUUAAUAACUUCAAAAUUAUUUAUUUUAAUUAGAAUCCUUUAACAACUUUUUGUCAGGAGGGUCCACAGAUGCUGUGUGCCAAGUUUCGUGCAAAUCGGUGAAAUCGCCUGGGAGGAGUUCGAAAAAGUAGGUUUUCGACAUUUUGCGACGUAGCGAAAAAAAACGGUAGGCCCAAAUGGGCGUGGCCUAUACCACGAGAUUCAGUACAAUCCACUGAACGCGUCGAUGUAAGGUUUUUGAAUGUGCGACAAAGUAUAUGGGAGUUAUUAGCCAAAACGCGCUUUUCUUAAUAACAGCGCCACCUAGUGGUGGAAAUUCAGGACGACAAUAGAUUAUAAAAUUUUUCGCCAGGUGUGACUUAUAUUCCAAGUUUGGUGAGUUUUGGGGUAUGUUCAGGCAGUGAAAAAUGCGAUCCUUUUGUGAGAAGAAAAAUAAUAAAAAACAUUUCAAUUACAAUAGGGUCCUUGCAGGUUCCCUGCUCGGGCCCUAAUAAUCAUUAUAAAAACAAUAGGGUCCUUGCAGGUUCCCUGCUCGGGCCCUAAUUAAAGCUGCAAGCAGCGUUGAACGGGCCCUCGCAGUCCACGCGUGUCGGGGCAUGCUGCCGUCGGGGCUUG
rnacentral:lncRNA from 1 species